rnacentral:other from 1 species
GGCUGCCUGCCCUGUUGGUGACAGAUGAAAAAGUUGAUCCGGCAAAUUAGAUCUUUAGGGAGUCUGAGUAAGGAGGACGGUGUGCAUGUCUCAUUAAUAAUGAGAAAGCCUGAAGUUCCCUUCAAGACACCCACCUAUUUUAUGGGCGGAUCUGAUUAUUCAUUUGCACGGCAGGGCGGGUUUAUU